UUAGAAGUGUAUCUAGAAGCUGAUAGUAUCCUUGGCAAAAAAAGAAGCAGCUGAGACUAUUCAGAAUUGGAACACGUGUUCUGGAUCUAUUUUCUGAUCAGACUCUGUCGAUCUCCAUGUGUUUAAUAUCCAACUCUAGUCUGAUGCUUAUCAUCGCAAUUUGCUUGGGUAGAAGCUGCAAUAUUUGCUUAAGUAGCGAGACGGUUGUCUUGCUCUCUCAUAGUGGAUGCAGGAAGGACCGAAUCCUUACUCGAACAAACAGUUUACAGUCAUCUUCAACAUUGCUUUCUGGUGUCCCACUAAAGAGGUAAAGAAGCUAGACAACACUCAAUACCUGCAGCUAUUCGCCUGCUCCGAUACUAUCUGUGAGAUCAAUAGAAUAAGGAGGCAAACUCAGAGACCGUAGAUGGAAGCAAGUGUGAUACUUUCAGUCUAGCAAGCCCAGUGCUUUUCUUUCCACCUUCCGUCUGUAUGGAGCUGGAACAGAAGAAACGACGAGGAUCAGAAAAACUCUUGACGUAUCAGUGCCAUCCACCAUUCUAUCCUUUCUUUGGCUUCUCACUACUUAUAAGGGCCCAGCAAUCUCAAUCUGAGUUGGCAGACAAGAAGAAUCUUGUGUUCAUGCACAAGACAGGCUGAAUGCAGAGGGAAAAACGACAAGGGGUAAAUGAAGAAACAGAAGUGGCGGCGCCGUGGAGCCUGCCGUCUAGGUCACCGACGGCGUCCAGCAUGCUCUCUUUGUGUCUUCACGAGAAUCAUCUUGAACCGAGUUUAUGAGGCUGUUGUGUGUCCAUUAUUGCCGGCAAAGUCGCCUGCACGAGGAUGAUGUUUGUUCAUGGAUCCAAACUGGUUGUAUUAGGAGCUUAUAAAAUUAAAAGUAGGAAGCAACCUUAUUGUUUCUUUGUUGUACCUACUUGUGAUAGGAGGAGUGGACUUCAGAACUAUUAGCUGGCCUGUUCCUCUCGAAAUAAUCCACGUGUUUUACAAUUUUGUAGUGCAUUACGUGCAUCUGGCUGAGCUUAUCACAUUAUGUUCCAACUAUUGACAACAAGAAUCGGCAUCGACAUCGAGCUGGUAUA